CUCAGACUGUAAGGAGAAGACACGGAGAACUGUGCCAGGGGCCCCGAGGACAGAACCCGCUGUCUCCUGGAAUCCUGCCUGGCCCUCAUGCAAGGGCAGCUCCCGCCCACCCCUGCCUACCUCCUGCCCUGCCCUUGGGUGAGGAAACUGAGGCACAGAGCACUGAUCCAGGGAAGCCCUAGUUAGAGGCAAAGCUGGACUCAAACCAGGAUUCAGCGCUCAAACUCCCCAGUCCCUGGCCUGGCACAGAGACUGGCUCCGCCCUUCUUCCAGGGCUGAUGACUUCUGUCCCAGCACCCGAGGUGCUCGGCAGCCUGGGCCUUGCACGCUGGCUGGCCAUCACCUGUUAAGUAGCCCCGUGGCUUCUCACACUGAGCCACCUGUGAAGGAAUCCUGUAUCAGAGAAUGGGCUCUGAAGAUGUCCACACCCAAGUCCCCAGACCAGGGGACUGUGACCUUACAUGGCCAAAGGAGCUUUGCAGGGUGGGUUAAAGCAAGGCUCUACAGAAGGGGAGACUGCAGACUGUGCAGGUGAAUCAGGACAGUCAGAAGUGUCCUCCCAAGGGAGAAAGCAGCAGGAAGAGCAGAUGUGGCCACUCCAGAGCCGCUGUCUGCAGCACCAGCUCCUAACCCACCGCUCAGGAUCGGAAACAGCCAGUCUGUGGCCUGGUUCUGGCUGGUCUGCAGGCCAGAAGUGGUUUUUACGAAUUUAAAGAUAAGCUAGAAAAUGUACACUCACAGAGCCCAAAUGCUCCACAGUGUCCAUCUCAUUCACUCUCGGCAGUGUCCAAAACACUCUGUGGAGAAAGAACUACAAUACCUAAGGAAUGAAGACUGAGCCUCAGUUUCCUCAUCUGUAAAACGGGGACUACUGAUGCUUCCAGGGAAGGAGUAAAUGGAAUCUAGGUGUCCAGGUGUUCAGCAUGGUGCCCCACCUGUGGCAGGGACACAGAUGUCACUGCUGGCUACCUGGCUGAGAAGUGGUACAUGUGCAGUAGGGGUCUGCAGAGCCGCCUCAGUGCCCUCGAGAGUGUGGCUUCGGCCCAAGACAGCACCUGAUGGGCGACCUGGAGUGGGCAGUGAGAGCCAUCAGGGCCACUGUCACUGGGCCAGGACCCACCGCCCCCCCAUCCCACCUUACCAGCUCCAGGGCUGCCCGAAUGGGCUUCGGCCUCCAACCGGCCGGCAGCGUGGGCACCCAGGCCUGCAGCCACUGCAGGGCCUCUUCCGCCUGCUCCUGCCACACCUCAUCCAGGGGCCGCAGCGUCACCUCCGAGUAGGCAUCCUUCAGAGUGGCCAGGGGCCCUGCAACAGGCCGCCAUCACCUGCUGUGAGACACUGGGGCCUGUCCACAGCCCUAUUACCCCAGCCAAGGAUAUGCCCUUCUGUGGAAGAAGGCAGGCGAGAGGUACUGCAGACAGGAGCGGGCACACAGGCCCGAGUGGUGUCCUCUCAAGGCCCUCGUCACAAGCCCGGUGUUUGUCUGGAACCAGGAACCUGACUGGAGCAGCUCACAUUGUCCCUAGAACCAAGGAGGACCGGUCCCUGUGCCCCUGCUGUGUGUGGAUGGCCUGCACACCUGCCUAAACUACCAGAGUCCAUGACCUCGGGAUCCCUGUGGCCAGCUCUGAUCAACACCCAGGUGCAGGGCUUCCCUGGUGGACAGGGUCUCUCAGGGUGGUCACAGGGCACUCAAGUGCAUCCUGUGUGAUGGCACCAGGGCCUCCCUGGGCGUCACCCUAGAACAGUGAGCAGGGCAGAGGCUCAUGGUGCCCUGAGGGCCUUUUGGCACAGGAUGUUUCCUAAGCAGGACAGAGGCCCUAGAAUCCUGCAGCAGUGAGCUGGACAGGGGUCUAAGGAAAUCACAGCAGUAGGCCUAAAAGAAAUCGGGGCCAAAGGCCAUACAGCCAUGAACAAUGAGUGGGUCCACAUGAAGUUGGGCUGGAGGCGCCCAGGGAACAAGGUCUCCUUGUGACUGACACAGUGCCUGGUCGUGGUCAUGGUCUUGUGUGUAGGGCGCGUCCCACCACACUCACGGUCCAGCUCACGGUGCAGCUGCUCCAGCUCCGCCUGCAGCCACUCCAGGUAGAGCAGCAGGUGGCGGGUCAGCACCUGCUGGACCUGGCUCCGGCCCCACCAGGAGGCCACUGCCUGGCCGCUCUUCUGCAAGGCCCCCAGCCCUGCCUGGGACAGUCGCAGUAGGAAGCCUGCUGUGCUGUCCAGGGUACCCACCGGCUGCACCUACACAGGGAAACCAAGGCAGGAGCUGUGUGAAAGCCCCAGGUGCAGAGCACUCCAGACCCUCUUGCCCGGGUGCAGGGGCACAGUCGGGCUGGAGCGGGCUCCCCACGCACUGCUCUGUUCUGCCUCAGUCUACCCACCAGCUGCUGGAACCUGCUUGCAUAGUCGCCCAUGCUUUGGAGCUUCUUUUCCAGCUGGGCUUGCACCUGGGACCCAACCGCUGCGAUCCUGGACUGUGGGGACAGAGGAACAGGCUGGGUGGGUCUAGGGCCUCAUAGGAAGGAAGAGGAAAGAAGGGUCUCAGAGCCAGUUGGAGGGACCCAGGACGGUAUGGGUCAUGCCCUGGGGUCAGUUGUUCUGGUCUUCUGGGCAUGGAGGCCCCCAAAAGACUUGCAGGAUCCUGGUGCGCUGGCCUCUGCCUGGAGAGACCAGCAAUAGCCCCUGUCCCUGCCCAACCCUCUCACCUCCACGAGGUCCAGCAGGGUCCCUGGGCAGCCAUGCCCCUCCAGGCGGAGGCUCUGGUUGGCAGCCUGCAGGGCCAGGCGUCCCAGGGACUGGGCAGGCUGCUCCCCAUCCUGCAGCAGAGCCUCCACCUCAGCUGUCUGCCUGUGGGCACACGCCUGCAGUACCACGCUCUCUGCUCUGCUUCCUGGGGCCAGAAAGGGACCUGUGGUUGUACCCAUGCCUUCUGCUCCCAGUCCUCCUGCACUGCACAGCCUGCUGUAGCUCCCAAGUGGUCGGGGCAAGGACUUGAAGGCCUUGAGCUGUGCCAUCUGAGCUUUCCUGCCCACUUGAAGCUCCCAUAUACCCAUCUUCAUUAACUGGACCCCACCCUCUCAAGGUCAUCUGCCCAGCAGUUAACACAGGUGACUACAGAGGCGGGGAGGGUGUGCCAUGGAGUCCUAACAGAGGGUCCUUGGAGUUCUAAGCACCCAUCCCUGUCUUCACUGGUACCACAGCAGGGCCUGGCCACUUUCCACUCACCCUCCUCGUGGGCCACGGUGGCCUGGAGACAGCUGGGGACCUGAGACACAGACAGCCUCACCUUCUCACCCGGUUUGUCCAUGCUUCCCUCCAGCUGGGCCAGGGUUUGGGAAGCCGAGGUAGAAAGUCGGCCUUGCAGGCCAACCCACUGGGCUGUGGGGCCUCGGAGCUGCAGGAAACAGGGCAAACAGUGGCCUCUACCCCACCCUGCUGCAGGGUUCAGAUUCCCUUCAGAAAGGUGCAGAAGUCCUAAGGAAAAACCCACGGAGAACCCCCCAGGCCAGCAGCACCUGGGCUUUCUUGGUUUGCAUCAGAACCACUGCAAAGGUCUUAGCAAGUUCAAGGAGGCCCUGUGGGCACCUCCCGGCAUCAGCCUAGGUCACUGAGCAGGGUACCAGGGCCUCGAGGGAGGAGCACAGGGUGGGUUGGUAUGGUAGGGGACAGAGCCCCCAGAGAAGAUGCCACCCUGCAGUGGAGAGACAAGGGCUAGAGAGAAGCCGUGGUGAGAGGAAAGCCAGCCCUGCCCUCUAUUCUGGCUCAGCACUGGUUCAGCAUGGGCCUCAGCUUCAAAAUCUGUAAUGUGAUGUAGAACCGUGCUUUUCAAACCUUAGCAGGAAAAAAAAAAAAAAACUUCAGCAGAGACCAGAGAGAGAGAAAGAGACAGACAGACAGACAGGUUGUAUUCCUCAGGGGUGGGGUGAAGUUUGAAUCCCCCAGGCCUGUUUAUGUGAUCUCAUUUGGAAAUAAGUUCCUUGUAGCUGUAACUCAGGAAAGAUGAGCUCAUCCUGAUGGAAGCGGGCUACGGAUCCAAUGUCCUUACAAGAGCGCCAUGUGACAGCUGAGGCAGGCUGGAAGGACAGUGCCCCACGCCAGCUCUGCCAGCGAAACCUGGAGUCAGGAGAGGCGGGGAGCUCCCUCCCCAAGAGCUGCUGCCUCACUGACGAUCGUGGGCUUCGGGCGUCCAGAACUCUGACAGAAGUUUCUGUUGCCUGAAGCCCCUCUGUUGGAGAUAAUCUGUCACACUGGCCCAGGACUCUGAUGCAGGUGCUUGGUAGAUACAGGUUCCUCCCCCGAGGCCUCCAGGGUGGUAGGGCUGGAGCCCAGGGAUCCCCAUGAAAACUAACAGGCAGCCUGCUUGGGGCUGGGGGCCCUCCCCCGAUGACUGCCACCCACAGCUCUGCCCCACUGCGUAAGAAGGACUCUCUCUUCUGUGGGGCUGAGUGAGGAGCUGCCCUCCCUGAAGCUGACCCUCAGGGAGCACCACACUGGUGCAAGAACCGAACAGACAGGGAGAAGCUGCCGUCCUCUCUGGGGGCCAAGCAACACAGGCAGGAGCCGCCAAGAGGUGCUCGGGAUGGAGAGGCUGGAAGAGUGGCACUCGCCAAGGACCCAGCAUGUGCCAGGCCACGGGGCCCUCACUCCCAGGCUCCAGGGGGAGGGAGAGAGGCCUCAGGAAGCACGAGUGCCCACUGUGUGUAGACUCUGGGGAGAUGUCUGUUCAGCCUAACAUCUCUGAAAAGUCGGCCAUAUCUGUUCCCAACCAACAGAAGGGAAGACUGAGGCUCAGAGAAGAAAAAUCAGAACAUCGAGGUCACCCAGCCAGGAGACACAGGCUGGGGAAUAGCACAGUGACAGACCACCUACGGUUGCUCCCUGGGCAGAAAGGGGAAGCCCCUUGGAAAAGACGCAUCGUCAGGUGGGGGAGCUGCAGGCCCUGGGCUGCUGGGGACAGAGGAGAGGGCUGGUCAGUAAUGAUCAUGAAUACUCAGUGGCUGUGUCCGGUCAGGCUCUUUCAAAGGUGACCUAUGUGCACUAACACUUAACCCUCCCCUUCUCACAGGAGGGGAGAAGGUGUCUGCCUGAAAGAGGCCUGACUGGGCCAAUCCACUGCCAUCUCUCAGCUACAGCAAGGGUCAGGUGUCAGGGUAACGGAGGAGCUGCCUUGUCAGGGACAGGGUCAGGCCAAGGGGCGUGGCAGCGUCCCCCAUAGGUUCUGACUGUCGACUUGGGGUGACAUGCAGUUCCAGACAUGGCCACUAGAUGGCAGGGCAGCCCAGGCGGUGGGGAUGGGGUGCGUCUUCCUGGUGCAGUCAAGGACACUCACCUCCAACUCCCCGGAGAAGCUGGACGCAAGGGGACUGCUGCGGUUGCGAAGGGUCAGGCUGAGGUUCAGGCCAGGGUCCGAGUGUGAAGCGAGGCCCAGCUGCCAGCGGGAAUGCAGCAGGAACUGCCCGGGGCCCAGGCUAUGUUCCCCGGAGACGGAGAGGGUCUGGCGGGACAGCCCCAAGCUGGGGGUCAUGGAGCUGCAGAGGUGGCAGCUUCCUCUCCCCAGCACCUGGUCCAUGGCCCUCCCUGCUGCCUGGGAGCAGGACAGGCCUCUCUAGAAAUGCACGUCCAAUCUUUUCCCACCACACAGAGCCUCAGUUUCCCUGCGUAGCAAAGGAGCUGGGCCCACUGCUGGACCAGUGGGCAGCAGUCUCCUGACGGCACCCCACCCUGCCACGUUCUUCACAUAGCACACACCCACCCCUGGCCUCUGGCCCCCCUCAGGGCAGGGACCAGUUCCCGGACUUAUCACCAAGGCUGCUCUGCUGCUGCAAUGGCAGAGCCGAGGAGGAGGAGACCGUGUGGCUCAUGCAGCCUGGAACGCUCACCCUCUGUCCCUUUACGGAGAAGGGCUCAGUGGGUGGAGGGGUGGACAGACAGAUGAAAGGGUAGGAACGCGGGGGCGGGGGAUGGACGGACAGAAUUGGCACAGGGGAGGAAGAGGACCCCAGUAUCUCCCCAUCCGCAGCCCUGUAUCGCACCCUCGAACCCUCAGGCGCCCUACACACUAGAACCGAGAGCCUCUUCCGCCCCUCACAAACACGGGAAGCUCACAGACAGGCCCUGCCCAGUCACCCGGACACCAGACAGCAGAGCCACCAUGCUGGCAUCUGACUGCCUCCCUCAAGCCCUGCCUUCUGCACACGCUGUCCCCCCACUCCCAGAGGUCCCCCCUUCCCUCCAGUGGGCCCUUGCCCAGGGCACACUCACCCUGGGUAGGUCACACAGCUCCGGGUGGGGGGUGUGGUGCAGCCCGAGUGUCGAGUCCCUGUCCACUUCUCCCCGGAGGCUCUGCUGGCCACAGGAGGCCGGGAGGAUGUGCCCCAGUGUGGCUUCCACGCGUACUUUGGCUGAUUGGGGUGGCUGAUGCCUCUGGAAUGAAGGGUCACCAUGCUAGCUAUUUUGGGGGUGCCUUACAGGGACACAGCCAGCAUCCCAGCACAGAGCCCUUGUCACAGCCACUACCAGGACUCUGGGGCACUGUGACGCCAAGGGUCUCAGGAACUGGGUAGUGGCCCAGGAGGAAGAAGGGCCGUCAGGACCAACUUUCGUCAUUUCUCAAUGGCCUGGUUCCUGUCCCUGGCUCUGCAGAACACCCAUCUCUGUGAUCGGAAGCUCUAGAUGGGCAGAGGUGCUGGGGUAACCCAUGUCCCCAAGCCUCUGCCCACCUCAGAAUCCUCGCCCUCUGAUCCUGGUGCAAGUCUGAGGGUUUGCCGUGCACCCACUUUAUCCUCCCAGUCCUCACUACAGUCCCCUGGGAAAGGACAGUGUACUCGCUUUGUAGAGAAGAAAACGGAGGCUCCGCACAGAAACGAGGGGGCCGGGAUCCCACAGUGCAGCUAGACAUGAGCCCCAGACCCGAGGGCCCUGAGCAGCACCUUCUGCAGCAGUGAGCCCAGCUUCUUGGCUCACCUCAUACGUCACAUUCUGCUGCACCCGGUGUCGGCCCCAGGUCAGAUCCAGCUGCUCACUGAACACAGCUGGGGUACGCGCGAAGGCCCCGCAGGCCUGGAGGGUGCCCGGGCCCCAGGGUCCUCGGAGCUGGCAGGGAGGAAGAUGGGGUGUGAGUGGGCCAGCAGAAAGGCCGGGAGCCUGGUGGCCCUGCGUGUGACUGGGCUGUCAGCAGGUGCAUACCUGCCCUAAAGAAGCAGCCAGGCAGCCGUCCCAGGUUGUGCUGUGCAUGGAGCACCUGUGGGCCCAGGCGAGCUGCAGGGUCACAGGCUGUCCCCUGUCCCAGGCCAGCUGCACCUGCAUGGAGUUGGGGAGGGCGUGGAGGUGGAGAAGCACACCCUUGUCCCUGUCAGGAACUGGGAGUGGGGGAUCUGCCUGCUGCCAAGCUCUGUGAGAACCCAGGGCCCCCCAGAUGAAAAGAAGGUACAAUUGGAGGAAAACAUCCCAGCUCCAACACACACCAGGCAUUUCCAGAGCCAGAACCCAGAUGAGCCCUUUGUUGGUGCCUUGGGGCCCCGUGUGCUCCUUGUCCUACUCAUCACCUGACUUCAUCUCUCUCCUAGCACUCUCCCUCUCUUAUAUCCGGCUCUGCUGCACUGUUCCUAGCUUCCAGCUUUUCCUGACAUCCCCUAGUCUUCUGCCCACAGGAUCUUUGCACCUGCCACCCGCAGUUCCACGCAGCCGGCUAUUUUGCAACCCUGGGUCCUCAGCUGAUGAGCAACUUCCCUAGGGACCCUCACUGACUACUGGCCUAACUAGCCAGACCCUCAGUCCCCUUGGCUUGCUUCAUGGUGCUUUUUUUUUUCUUGUAUUGGGGAAUUGAACUCACAACCUCAUGCUUGUCAGGCAGGCGCUUAUGCCGCUGAGCUAAAUCCUGCAUAAAUUUGCAACUUCUGAGUGUUUCAUUUUCCCGUUUGCUUGAGUCUGCCUGUUUUGCUGUCUUGCUGUCAUCCAUAAAUGAGGAAACUGGCUCAGAGAGGCAGCGUGUGCUGCCAGUGCUGCCAGCCAGGUGGGAGGGCACAGCUGCCCUGCUCACCCUCCGCACCCUGAGGUGCCCACAGAGCAGGGAACCGCGUAAAGGACUUUGGAGAUCCAGCAGCAAAUGGUUCCGUGUUAGGCACGAGGCUGUGCUGCCAGGCGUUGCUGAAGGAACGAGCGAGGCAGGACUCCUGGGCGGCCCCUCAGUAACCCCACGCCGGAGGCCGUGCUGUUCCCCAGCCCACCGGGCCUCCUGCACGGUGUCUCCUCACUCACCCGUCGGCUCUGCCUGCCGUCCCUGCUCCUGGCGAGGACCCUGGCCUCAGCAUGCCUCCAGGACAGGGGGAAGGGGUGAGCCAGGGCCUGCUGGGCGGCCAGCUGGCCUUUCCCCAGCUGCGGAGAGGAGGCGACUGCCACCUGGGGAAGGGACAGCUGAGCCACAGUCUCCGCCCCCCUAGCCCAGACAGCCUCCACACCAAGGUAGGGAAGAGAGCAGCCUGCUGGGACGGUGGUUGUUGGGGCAGGUAUGGGGUUCAUGGGCCGGGGACCGAGGAUUCUGCUCAGGCAGCCGGGCGGAGCUCGGCCUUGCCCAACCCCAGCAUCCGGUGCCUACCUGGUCGCUGCCGUCCCAGCUCACGGCCAGCUCGUGCUGGUGGCUUCCUCCCUCGUGCUCCGCGGUCAGGAGGAGGCUGCAGUGCUGCGGCAGGGAGAGCAGCAGCUGCUGGGAGAGGGCCACUGGGUGAUGGGGACACACAGAGAGCAGAGUGAGCUGAGGACAAUGCUCAGGGCACAGGGGCUCAGGGAACUGGGAGCGGACACCAGCGUCAGCUCGGGCAGGCAGCCACAGGCUUGGGCCGGUUCUCCCAAACUCAGACACUGCCUGUCGCUGCUGCCCUGUGGGAGCCCCAGGUCUCCCUCCCCUCACAGGGGAUACCUCACUCAGAGGUGGGACCCACUUCCCCAGCCUGGCCUGGUGGUGGCCUCAUGCCCUGCUGGAACGUGGCUAGUCCCAAACCUUAGCUAUAAGAGGCAUUGGCUUCCACUUCUUCUCUUGUUCUCCUGCCCAGCCACCACUGGACAAACCCAGGCUGGACCAUGGGACAGUGAUGCCAUCCUGUUUUAGCUGAGGUUGUUAGAUCAGCUGGCAGCCUGCUAGUCCCUCAAUAGGUCAGUGAAGCCAGAGAAGCCAACAGAGCUGCCCAGCCAAUUUGAAACCAACCUUGGUGCACAAGGAAGACCAGAGCUGCCCAGAAGACCUGCAGCCUCACGAGCACCAAUGGUGGUUUUCAGUUACUAAAUUCUGGGACAAUUUGUUACACAGCAGUAGCUGACAGGUGCAGCCCUGACAGCCUGUGUCACUUAGGUAUACCCAUAACCCUCAGGAGUACUCCCCCAUUCCUCAGAUGGGCAUCUGCUGCCCUCACUUCUUCUUGGGGUGUGACACAGGAGGUACCCCAUAAGCAAAGCUUCCCAGGGGAUGGUCUCUCCACCCAGGACUUCAUCCCUCAUCUCCUAGAGCGAGUUUAGCACUAGACCCCACUAGACAAUCUGCUUUCUCACAUCCUCAAAGCAAGAGUCUCCCCAGUCCCCUAUGCAUGUGGGCGGUAACACCUGGGCAGUCUGUGCCCUCUGAAUUAGGGUCUGCCUGCCACAGGCCACACACAGGCCCUCACCUCCUCCACACUCUGACCCCAGCCCAGCUCUAGACGCGGUGUGGGACUUCAGGCUGCUUGGCUCCAAAGGACACUGUGCCCACACACAUGUGCAUGCACAGACUCAACAGGCACACACAUGCACACACCCAUAUGCACCCACGAGCCACCCUGGCUGGCUGAGGAUCUGUCAUCCCCCAUGACCUCCCCGGGACACAUGUGGCAAGGGUGACUCUGGGAGAAUUCAUCAGGCCGCCAGCAAGCUGUGCCCCCCCAGGACAGGGUCUGCACUGUCCCCAAGGAUGGGCAGCAGAUCAAGCUCUGCUCAGGGCCAUGGGGCUCCUCGGCCAGACACUGAGUCUCUGGCUGCCUAGGGCACACACUUCAGAGCACAAGGCACUGUCCUCAGGAUGCCUGCUCUUCUGUCUUAAGAGAAACCCCAGCUCCUUGUGUGACUUUGUCCCUCUCCACAGCCUCGCCACACUGGCCUCGCUGCUGCUGCUCUGCCUAGGUUCACUGCCACCCCAGGGCCUUUGCACCUGCUCCCUCUGCCUAUGAUGCCACACCUUGCUUCUCUAUCUGGCCAGCUCCUCCGUCAUUCAGGUCUCUGCUUGGACAUCACCUCCUCAAUGAGGCCUCCCAGUUCACCCACCUAACCCUGCGCCCUCACACUUCUAGAAUCAUGCUUGGUACCUCUUAGAUGCUCAAUUAACAACACAGAAGAAAGGAAGGAGAGACAGAGAAAGGAGGAGCCACAGAGAAGCCCAGCCAGCAAGCCUGCCCACUUCACAGGCUGUCUGCACUGGGUCCUCCUCCCAGGAGACUAGCCCAAAGGGCUUCCACGGGUGCCCCUUGGCCUGCCUGGACUGUGCCCUUACCUGGGGGAAGGUCUGCUCCAGCUUGGUGGUGGCAGUGAGACCAGCCUUAGAGGCCCACAGGCUGCUGCUGAUGUGGAAGUGAUGGUCUCCUACUCCCAAGUCAAAGGUGCCCUGGGCCUCACCCUUAGAGGACUGCAACUGUCAGAGAAGAGUUCACAUGAGAUUUCAUCCGUCUCUGAAGAACAUUCAGGCAGAGGCCGGCUCAGGCUGCAGGCCCUGCCUCCCAGAGCUCCAGACUCAUGAGAGCCGCAGCUUCUUGCUCUGGACAGCUCCAGUGAUGAGGGUCCUGAGCCUCAGGUUAGGCCAGCAGGCGGGGCCAGGACAACACCUCCCUCUUGUGGGCUGUAACACUGCCUUGAAGACAGCCACUGGCCUGGGGCCAGUAGGCAAGAAUUCUAGUUGUGGUAUGAGUCUCGCCAGCAGGGGGCACUGUAUCACAGAGGAUAACGCUCAGGGCUGUUCAGAGAGAUCACCUCUCCCAGUCUGGUUUUUGCCGUAAGUGGCGGGUGAUCUAUAGUUGGCUCCUUAGCCACUCAAGCCUUAAUCUUCUAAUCCAAUAAAUGAGGCCAAUUAUACCUCCUUUAUUAAUGGAUUAUUGUGAAAAUUAUAUGAACGAAUGCGCCAAAUUCCAGGCUGACUGUACAGUAGAAUCCCUUGGGCUACUAAAAUACAGUCUGGCCUCCUAUUAAGUCCCACAGAACCCAAAUCUCUGGGAAGAGGGCCGAGUUGGUAUUUACACAGGGCUGGCCAGACGCAUCGGUAUUUCCAUGGUCACCACGAAAAACUGUCCAACAGCAUCUCACCUUCAGCAAGCUAUCUGACAAACACAGAUGGGCGCGUUUUGCCAGGGAACCACCUGGAUGAGUCAAAACUGUCAGCGCAGGAAUGUUUAGGCAGUGAACGAUAAUGAAGUAUUUGAAACGGAUCCAAAAGCAUGAUGGGUGAAGAUGGGUGAUGAGGUAAGAUGUGGGUAAGAGAUCACUGUAAAAACAUCUGAAUUUUGUGCUGUCUAAAGUUUCCUAAUAAAACGUUGGAGGGGGAGGGGGAAGCCACCCUUCCGGGCAACUUGGCCUGCAGCAGGAUUUUGUAAACCCAGUUUGCUUGUCACACUGUCAUGUCCAUCACUGACACACUGCCCACAGCAGCUUUCGACUUAAAAUGACAGAGCUAAGUCGUGACAGAGAUGAGAUCAGCGGCAAAGCCAGAAAGGUUUUACUGUCUGGCCCUUUGGAGUGAAAGUGUACAGACUUCUGCUCUGGAUUAAAGAAACUAGAGUCCUGUGUG